GGUGCCAGCAGCCGCGGUAAUUCCAGCUCCAAUAGCGUAUAUUAAAGUUGUUGCAGUUAAAAAGCUCGUAGUUGAAUUUCGGGAUCAGUACGUUGGUCGUGCCUUCGGUACGUACUGGCGUUACUGGUUCCUACCUUCUGAAGAACCGUCAUGUCAUUAAUUUGGUGUGGGGGGAAAUCAGGACUGUUACUUUGAAAAA
rnacentral:rRNA from 1 species